rnacentral:lncRNA from 1 species
UCCGCAUCGACUCACGGGUUCACCUCCUUCCGGUCUGAACAGUGAACUCCUCCGCAUGGACUCACGGGUUCACCUCCUUCCGGUCUGAACAGUGAACUCCUCCGCAUCGACUCACGGGUUCACCUCCUUCCGGUCUGAACAGUGAACUCCUCCGCAUGGACUCACGGGUUCACCUCCUUCCGGUCUGAACAGUGAACUCCGCAUCGACUCACGCGUUCACCUCCUUCCGGUCUAAAUGUUCUGUUCGGUUCUAUUUUGGUGGGGCCCACGCGUCAUCACAGAGUAUCUGGGAGCCCUGCCCUCUUGCAGAUGGGAAUGAAGGCCCAGGUGCUCUGGAGAGGUGACUCUCCUCUAGAAAGGAAACACUGGUUCUGUAAACCUGUUUGAGAAGAAAAGCUCGAGGUUUCUUGGCCUCUCUGCUUCUGGAGCCAGGGGAAAAAAUAGCCCCAGGCUGAAGACAGGAGGGACCAGAUUGCUGCUUGGUGAUGCGAUCUCACUGCAGAGGCAGCCAGGAGACCCUCCUGAGACGAAUCGGAGAGUCCAUGCUGCUUUUACACACAUCCUAGUUCUUUUAUAACUAGCCUUUUCCUAUUAACGGACAUCAUUCAAAAGCCAGUUUUAAGCAACAUAAAUAUUGAAAACAAUACUAUACUAUUUAGAAUUAAUUAUAAGUUUUGUUUUUAAAGCCUAAAUCUUUUAUUGUUGUUUGAACCCUGGGCACUGAAGCUAAUAAUGUAACUUUUCUCCCUUCUUUCUUCUUUGGCAUAGAUUUAAAGAACUGUUAGACUCAUUUAAAAUGCUAUUAGGCAUUUUAAAGAGUAAUUGUUAAAUGUGUUGUCUCUUGUGGGACUGGAAAUGUUCUGUUCUUAUCUGGCGCUGGUUACAUCCUGUUUUUCAUUUGGGAAAGUGCAUUGAGCUGGAAAUUUAUAUGUUCAAUUUCUGUAUGUAAAUUGUACUUCAGUAAAAAUUUUCAAAAAA